rnacentral:rRNA from 1 species
GACGAACGCUGGCGGCGUGCUUAACACAUGCAAGUGGUGCGACGAACCAGGGCUUGCCCUGGGGCAAAGCCGCGAACGGGUGAGUAACACGUGGGUAACCUGCCCCGAUGACCGGGACAACCCGAGGAAACUCGGGCUAAUACCGGAUGUGGUGCCGAGCUCUAAGGCUCUGCACUAAAGGAAGCUUCGGCCUCCGCAUUGGGAGGGGCCCGCGGCCCAUUAGCUAGUUGGUGGGGUAACGGCCUACCAAGGCAACGAUGGGUAGCUGGUCUGAGAG